AAAUGACAGAAACAGCAUCCUCUCGAGUGUACUGUGGCGCCAAACCUCUAAUCCGAACGUAAGCCUUGAUACUUGGGGUCUAAACUGGCCGUGAGAGUCCCAAACUCUGUUUCUGGCGUUACGUGUGAAAGGGAUGAAUACUUUAUAUUUUACAUGGAAUUAAACAUACGUAGAAGUCUAUUCUUUAUCAAAGCAAAAAUGUCAGCUAGAUUCUAUUUGCGUGAGUGAGAAAUGGCAUUGAAAAGAAUGUCUGAUUUGAAUUAUGCUUAUUUGGCUGAGCUUCUAAUAUUCUCUCUCAUUUUGCGAUCGAUAGUUGCCACCAAGAUCUCUGUGGCUGGGGAUUUACCCGUUCUGCUUACUCUUUUCAAAGUCUCUCUUGAACCCACCUCGCCGCUAUUGCCCUCACAAAGUCACUUCUAGAGCAAAACAUUUUGGGAAUGGAAGGACACAGAACCAUUCUUAAGAUUCGAAGCAUUCCAAAGAUUCUUCAGGAAGUGGAAGUUUGCGCAGGUCGCAGCGGAGCUCCAGGACUCUGAACACAUAAACCUGGAAUACUCCACAGAUGACUUCCAGGGCAGACCUUCCUGCAAUCAGGAGGACCAGCCUGACUGCGGCGGUAGAACUAAGUUCACAGAGGAAUGGUAGAAAUUAGAAAGGAAGCCUUGAAGAGAGAAGAUUGGAAUUGUGCCCAUGGAGGCCAGAAGAGGGCACUGAAUCCGCGGAGAUGAACUUAUAAACCGCAGAACGUGGGUCCUGGUACAGAAUUUGAGUACUUUACAAAAACAAUACGCACUUUAAACCACGGAGCCAGUGUUCCAGCCCCCAACUCUUCAGACUCUCACCCAGUUCUCUCUCCUUCACAUUUAUAAAAACUAUAUUUAAUAUUUACUG
rnacentral:lncRNA from 1 species